UAUAUGUACUCAUGUGUGUUUUCUCCUGCAGAUUGGUAGACUAAUAUAUGUCCAACCAGUGAAAGAAAAUAACAUGAAUGAAUUCUGAGCUUUCUUGCAAUAUUCACCCGCUUGCCGUUGUUUCGUUUAUGUACAUAUAAAAUCAGGUCUGCACCCAAGACUUGCUUGGAGCAUUUGUUUUCGUUUUAGGACAUUCAUCCAGACAUGCAUGUUGUUUCUAGGUGUUACAAAAGAAGGCUGAUGAAGAUUAUAUUAUCUAAUCAGCAACUGAUCUGGUACAAUAAAGAAGCAGCAAAUGAGCUAGAAAAAAUCAGUGUGAAGAUGAAUAAAUCCGGCAUCUUGAUGUUUCAUAUCUAUUGGUUCCUUGUUUGGCAGCCUAUGUUGGUAGAUGUGAGAGCUCCAAAUAUGGAAGCAGCCAGCGUGCGAAAGAUUAAAGGAUGCAUUGCUACAGUGAAAACAUUCAGUGGGCGACCAACGACCAGAAUGUCAUUGCUUUUAUCAUGGCAUCCAACACUUGCAGAUGUGACACAAAAGGGGGUUCUGAAGCUGAUGAACUUGGAUGGCCUGACAGUCUACAAUACCAACGACCAUGUCCAAGUACACGAACUUGAAAACUUUCUAAGAUUCGUACACACCUUCAGAUUUGUUUUCCAGGUAAAGAUCAGAAAGCCGACAGCGUUUCUAUUAUGUUUCAGGAAAAAAUUGGAUCUUUUUGGUCGGUUAUUGCAACCAUCUGUCUGAAUGAGUAUAAAAACAAUGCUAUGAGGUAAUGCAAGCAUGAGGGUGCCUCUUUUCACAAUAUGCGAACGUAUGGGCUAUUCGAGGCUUUAUGUUGUUUUUCAAUC